rnacentral:rRNA from 1 species
UACGAAGGGGGCUAGCGUUGUUCGGAAUUACUGGGCGUAAAGCGCGCGUAGGCGGAUCGCUAAGUCAGGGGUGAAAUCCCAGGGCUCAACCCUGGAACUGCCUUUGAUACUGACGAUCUGGAGAUCGGGAGAGGUGAGUGGAAUUCCGAGUGUAGAGGUGAAAUUCGUAGAUAUUCGGAGGAACACCAGAAGCGAAGGCGGCUCACUGGCCCGAUACUGACGCUGAGGCGCGAAAGCGUGGGGAGCAAACAGG